GCCUGAUGCGCCCAGCCGCGUGUGUGAAGAAGGCCUUCGGGUUGUAAAGCACUUUCAGUCGUGAGGAAGGUUCAUGCGUUAAUAGCGUAUGGAUUUGACGUUAGCGACAGAAGAAGCACCGGCUAACUCCGUGCCAGCAGCCGCGGUAAUACGGAGGGUGCGAGCGUUAAUCGGAAUUACUGGGCGUAAAGCGCAUGCAGGUGGUUCGUUAAGUCAGAUGUGAAAGCCCGGGGCUCAACCUCGGAACUGCAUUUGAAACUGGCGGACUAGAGUACUGUAGAGGGGGGUAGAAUUUCAGGUGUAGCGGUGAAAUGCGUAGAGAUCUGAAGGAAUACCGGUGGCGAAGGCGGCCCCCUGGACAGAUACUGACACUCAGAUGCGAAAGCGUGGGGAGCAAACAGGAUUAGAUACCCUGGUAGUCCACGCCGUAAACGAUGUCUACUUGGAGGUUGUGGCCUUGAGCCGUGGCUUUCGGAGCUAACGCGUUAAGUAGACCGCCUGGGGAGUACGGUCGCAAGAUUAAAACUCAAAUGAAUUGACGGGGGCCCGCACAAGCGGUGGAGCAUGUGGUUUAAUUCGAUGCAACGCGAAGAACCUUACCUACUCUUGACAUCUAGAGAAGCCAGCGGAGACGCAGGUGUGCCUUCGGGAACUCUAAGACAGGUGCUGCAUGGCUGUCGUCAGCUCGUGUUGUGAAAUGUUGGGUUAAGUCCCGCAACGAGCGCAACCCUUAUCCUUGUUUGCCAGCGAGUAAUGUCGGGAACUCCAGGGAGACUGCCGGUGAUAAACCGGAGGAAGGUGGGGACGACGUCAAGUCAUCAUGGCCCUUACGAGUAGGGCUACACACGUGCUACAAUGGCGCAUACAGAGGGCUGCCAACCAGCGAUGGUGAGCGAAUCCCAAAAAGUGCGUCGUAGUCCGGAUUGGAGUCUGCAACUCGACUCCAUGAAGUCGGAAUCGCUAGUAAUCGUGAAUCAGAAUGUCACGGUGAAUACGUUCCCGGGCCUUGUACACACCGCCCGUCACACCAUGGGAGUGGGCUGCAAAAGAAGUGGGUAGUUUAACCUUUCGAGGAGGACGCUCACCACUUUGUGGUCAUGACUGGGUGACGCU
rnacentral:rRNA from 1 species